rnacentral:lncRNA from 1 species
GUGGAGACAAAGCAGUUUGCUGAAGGUGUUAUUUUCAGCCAGUGUUUUCUGCAGCUUUUCUGGGGCUCUCAUCUACCUGACUGAAUAUAUAUGAAUGAAAGAGUGUUGUGAGUUUGGAUUUAACUUCCCAUUGCUGCAGUCUUCUCAUUUGCAAGAUGACUUUACUUACUCUAUCAUUAUUAC